rnacentral:lncRNA from 1 species
AGCUGCACCAGAAAAGGGAGAGUUGGGGGAAAUUGAGUUUUGUCUUGGGUCCCCUUUACUUCUCCACUACAGCCUCGGAUUUGCCAGCAGCCUAGAAAGCCUAAAGCCUCUGGGAGGAGGGAAAGAAAGUGCUGGGGGGCAGAGCCGGACUUUGUGAACUUUCACUCGAGGCCUCUAACCCUCUGCCCCCACAGGUGUUAUUAACUUUCCUCUUUGAGUCGAGGGAGGUGAAGCUCCAACAGGAUUGACUGUGAACUCGGGGCUUGGAAUGGACCCUCUUAGAACUUCAUUCGCUCCUUGACUCGCUCUAUGGCCGCCCAAGGCUCCAAAGCUGUGAAAUUUGGCAGAAUAAUUAGGACUGAGAACCCGACCAAGCUGUUGUGAGGAGAUGGUGGGCGGGCCCAUCCCUAAGGCCAAGUGCUCUGGAAAGGCAAACACGGGAAAGGUGGAGAAACUAGGUUGUGGGUCUGUCUGCUGAUGGUCAUCAGUGAUUCUGCACAGAUGUCUCCUUCCCCACCUACUCUGUGGUAGGCAAAAUAAUGGCCCAAAGAUGUCCUAAUACCUGGAACCUGUGAAUAUGUUACUUUACAGGGCAAAAAGAAUUUUACUGCUGUGAUUAAGUUAAGGACUGACAGAUGGGGAGAUCAUCGUGGAUUACCAAAGUGGGCCCAAUGUAAUCGGAAGGGCCCUUAAAAUAUGGGAGAGGAAGACAGAGAGUCAGAGAAGGAGAUAUGGUGAUGGAAGAGAUGUUGGAGAGAUUCAGUUUCUAGCUUUGAAGACAGAAGACCAGGAGCCAAAAAAUGCAGGCAGCUUCUAGAAGCUGGAAUGGAUUCUCCCCUAGAGCCUUUAGAAGGAACACAGCCCUUCCAAACCCUUCAUUGUACCCCAGAAAGACCCAUAUUAGAUCUCUAUCCUACAAAUAAUAAAUGGAUAUUAUUUG